rnacentral:tRNA from 1 species
GCUCCUGUAGUACAAAUAAGUACGCCAGC